UACGGGGGGUGCAAGCGUUGUUCGGAAUUAUUGGGCGUAAAGAGCGUGUAGGCGGCUUGAUAAGUCAGAUGUGAAAGCCCUGGGCUUAACCCAGGAAGUGCAUUUGAAACUGUCUUGCUUGAGUAAGGGAGGGGGAAGUGGAAUUCCUGGUGUAGAGGUGAAAUUCGUAGAUAUCAGGAGGAACACCGGUGGCGAAGGCGACUUCCUGGCCCUAUACUGACGCUGAGACGCGAGAGCGUGGGUAGCAAACAGG
rnacentral:rRNA from 1 species